rnacentral:ncRNA from 1 species
UAUCUGGUUGAUCCUGCCAGUAGUCAUAUGCUUGUCUCAAAGAUUAAGCCAUGCAUGUCUAAGUAUAAGCACUUGUACUGUGAAACUGCGAAUGGCUCAUUAAAUCAGUUAUCGUUUAUUUGAUUGUACCUUUACUACUUGGAUAACCGUGGUAAUUCUAGAGCUAAUACAUGCGAAAAGUCCCGACUUCUGGAAGGGAUGUAUUUAUUAGAUUCAAAACCAAUGCGGGUUCUGCCCGGUCAUUUGGUGAUUCAUAGUAACUGUUUGAAUCGCAGGGCCUGGCGCCGGCGAUGUUUCAUUCAAAUUUCUGCCCUAUCAACUGUCGAUGGUAAGGUGUUGGCUUACCAUGGUUACAACG